rfam:Ovis aries breed Texel chromosome 2, whole genome shotgun sequence.
UUUUAAAUCUCUCCCUCUCUCUCUCUCUCUCUCAUAUAUAUAUAUAUAUAUAUGUAUAUAUAUAUAUAUAUAUACAUAUAUAUAUAUAUAUAUAUGAGAGAGAGAGAGAGAGAGGGAGAGAUUUAAAA